rnacentral:lncRNA from 12 species
CAGCAGCAGCUUCGCCUGCCUGAAACUUCUAAACUCAAAAAGAUGAAGGUCGUAGCUGGCGUUCCCUGAUGAGGAGAGGUGCUUUGAAGAGAGGUGAGUUCUCCACAGAGAUGCAGGCAGCACUCACCUGUGAGCACAGCCCUGGCCAGAGAGGAGCAGCCCCAGCUUGGCUAACAACCUGACCCAGUGUGACCCAGCAUGGGCACAAAGGGCAGAAAUCACAGGUGAGGAGCAAAAGGACAAAAGAUUUCAAAGUAGCCUCUUAUGCAAAUAAUGCAAAAGCCUUUCACUU